UUAAAUUGAAGAGUUUGAUCAUGGCUCAGAUUGAACGCUGGCGGCAGGCCUAACACAUGCAAGUCGAACGGUAACAGGAAACAGCUUGCUGUUUCGCUGACGAGUGGCGGACGGGUGAGUAAUGUCUGGGAAACUGCCUGAUGGAGGGGGAUAACUACUGGAAACGGUAGCUAAUACCGCAUAACGUCGCAAGACCAAAGAGGGGGACCUUCGGGCCUCUUGCCAUCGGAUGUGCCCAGAUGGGAUUAGCUAGUAGGUGGGGUAAUGGCUCACCUAGGCGACGAUCCCUAGCUGGUCUGAGAGGAUGACCAGCCACACUGGAACUGAGACACGGUCCAGACUCCUACGGGAGGCAGCAGUGGGGAAGUAUUGCACAAUGGGCGCAAGCCUGAUGCAGCCAUGCCGCGUGUAUGAAGAAGGCCUUCGGGUUGUAAAGUACUUUCAGCGGGGAGGAAGGGAGUAAAGUUAAUACCUUUGCUCAUUGACGUUACCCGCAGAAGAAGCACCGGCUAACUCCGUGCCAGCA
rnacentral:rRNA from 1 species